UUACACAUGGAUAUGGUCAAGGUAAUGUAUACGCAUUAGUUUUGAUUUUUUUAUUUUUUUGAAGUCAUUUUGUUUUAUAAUAUACAUAAAUCUUAUUUUAUGUAUCAUUAUUAUUAUGAAAACAUUUGUUUGAUAAUAAUAAUAAUGUUUUAUUAUUACAUUUUGCGUACCUCAAACGGAAGGGACACGUGUCCAAAAUUCAUUCGAUAUGUCCCUAUUAAAUUUGCUCCAAUCCAUUCCCCCAACCCCAACUCUUCCUCUUUUUACUUCCCCUAUGGCUCGUCACUCCUUGCUCUUAGCCCUCCUCCUCUUCGCCGCCGUGGCCACCGCCGCGAUGGCGGUGGCCGCGUCCGACGCCGACGACAUCCUGAUCCGUCAGGUGGUGCCAGAUGUUGGCGAAGCCGAAGAGGAGGACAACCUGCUGAACGCCGAGCACCACUUCGCGAGCUUCAAGGCCAAGUUCGCCAAGACCUACGCCACCAAGGAGGAGCACGAUCAUCGCUUCGGCGUCUUCAAGUCCAACCUCCGCAGAGCCAGGCUGCACGCCAAGCUCGACCCCUCCGCCGUCCACGGCGUCACCAAAUUCUCCGAUCUAACUCCGGCCGAGUUCCGCCGCCAGUUCCUCGGCCUCAAGCCGCUCCGCUUCCCGGCGCACGCCCAGAAGGCGCCCAUCCUCCCCACCAAGGAUCUCCCCAAGGAUUUCGAUUGGCG
rnacentral:lncRNA from 1 species